AUUGAACGCUGGCGGCGUGCUUAACACAUGCAAGUCGAACGGUGAACGAGGGAGCUUGCUCCCUCCGGAUCAGUGGCGAACGGGUGAGUAACACGUGAGCAAUCUGCCCUGGACUCUGGGAUAAGCGUUGGAAACGACGUCUAAUACCGGAUACGAGACGCGAAGGCAUCUACAGCGUCUGGAAAGAACUUCGGUCCAGGAUGAGCUCGCGGCCUAUCAGGUAGUUGGUGAGGUAACGGCUCACCAAGCCUACGACGGGUAGCCGGCCUGAGAGGGUGACCGGCCAAACUGGGAAUGGGACACGGCCCAGACUCCUACGGGAGGCAGCAGUGGGGAAUAUUGCACAAUGGGCGCAAGCCUGAUGCAGCAACGCCGCGUGAGGGACGACGGCCUUCGGGUUGUAAACCUCUUUUAGCAGGGAAGAAGCGAAAGUGACGGUACCUGCAGAAAAAGCACCGGCUAACUACGUGCCAGCCGCCGCCGCUGUAC
rnacentral:rRNA from 1 species